UUGAAACACUGGUUCCCAUAUGAUCACUGAAAAUAAGCAAUGUCAAGCCUGGUCAGUACCUAGAUGGGUGACUGCUUAGGAAUACCAGGUGUUGUAA
rnacentral:rRNA from 1 species